CUGGCUGCACAGGGCUGAAUUUCACCCCGUCAGAGUGUAUUCUAAGGGCCCCCCGUGCAUCAUAUGGGCAUUCUUGAGUGUGCAGAUUGCAUCAGACCUGCACCUGAAUAAUUAAUAGUGACUGAAAUAUGCAGACACUAAAGUUCUGCAGCCAAAUUCUUGGAAACCUUCCUCUUCAAUGUAAGAUCAGGAUUUUGGUUUAAAUUUAUUUUUAUUUAAAAAAAAAGUGCUAAGCAGAUGCUACACUGUAAGAAGCGGAAAGAGAAUCAAAAAUUGAAAGAUUGUUAUUAAAACCAAUGAACAACUGCAGAGAGUGGAGACCCGGCAAAGCAAACAAAUGAAUACUGCUAGGGCUCACCGUCCAUUGUGGAGGUGAAGACCAGAUGAGAGCUGCUGGAUUGACCUUGAUGUGCCAUGUCCUUGUGUGGAUGAAGGACCUACAUCUCAGGGAUGGCCAGCAGCAGAUGUAACACAUAUCUCCAGGAAUGAGCUAAAUAACCUACCUUGAGAGAUCUCAGCCGCUCAGCAGAAUGCGGGAGAGCCGAGUGCUGAUGGGCUAGAG